CGUCCGGCGGUAGGAGUAUCGCUUCCUUCUUUUAGCCCUCGCUUCGGUUCGGAGAAGGAGCACGUUUCUAGAACUUCAGAAUAUUCUGCCCCAUCUCAUCAUUUAUGUUUUGUUUAGAGCCAAAAACAUUCAUCUUCUAUUAGAAAACAACAAGUGUUGCCUGUUGUCGUUAGGUGAAGUUAUACAUUAGGUUUAGAGAAGUCAACCGUGUAAACAGUUUAGUAUGCCAGUCGUCAACGGGGAAACCAUGCAGAGGAUCAUGGAUGAAUCGGAUGACCAUGCUUGUCGGUGACCCGGAGUGAAAUGGCCGCAACACGUGGGUCUACAGGUCUACAUGGCCAAAUAUGAAACUUAAUUUGACGUCAAGUAACUCCUGAGACGAGCUUGGAUGACUCUGCUGACCGUUCUGUCGGUGACCUGGAGUGAACAGGCUGAACAUGUGGAACCGGUCGACCUCGCCAAAUAUGAAGCGUAUUGGACGUUAUCAUGCAACUCUUGAGAUCUGUUGCUGCUGACCACCCGCCGUUGGGGCCGACCGUAGAGGAGCAGACGAAGACCACGGUAUAGUCCUCUGUGGCGCCACCGAGAGAUGGAUGUUUUCGCGUUGUGAACGAGGAGCUUGGAUGACUCUGCUGACCGUUCUGUCGGUGACCUGGAGUGAACAGGCUGAACAUGUGGAACCGGUCGACCUCGCCAAAUAUGAAGCGUAUUGGACGUUAUCAUGCAACUCUUGAGAUGUGAGUCAUUGGAACGAGAUUGAGCUUGGAUGACUCUGCUGACCGUUCUGUCGGUGACCUGGAGUGAACAGGCUGAACAUGUGGAACCGGUCGACCUCGCCAAAUAUGAAGCGUAUGGGACGUUAUCAUGCAACUCUUGAGAUGAGCGGUUGCAGUACGGGUUGAGGGCACUGGCGGCUUCAUGGAGCUCGGAGGAGACGGUGCAUCCCCCGGCCUGGGGUGUUGGCUGAGCUUGAGUCGGUGGUGAACAACCUCUGAUGCAGAGUUUGAAAUGUGGUGUAAAGGGCCCUGGCUUCAGACCCUAGCUUUUCAUUUGGUAGCACCAAAACAAAUUAGGUAGCACCAUAUAUUUUUUUUUUUGGUGAACAGGAGUUCCUCUUUAGUGAUGUUGUAGGCGGUGUUAAAAUUGAUGAUUUCUUCAUUCCCCGCCGUGCGGUUGCUCUCAUCUAUCCUAUUAAAUGAGCUUGUGCUUUUGGCUUUCGUAGUGUAAUUUAAUGAAUGAACUUUGAAUUGUGUAGAUCCUUUUUCGCCAACCUCUAACUGUCUUCUUCAGAAGAAUCUGAGAUUCUUGUCGCUUCCUCUGCUAACCCUUCUCCACCACCAACAUAACAGCCUCAUUUGUUUCCUCUGGCACAUUUUUUUCCUUAAAAUAAUCGACUAUCGACCGCUUCAUAUUGUAUCUGCUUUGUUUACUUUUUUGUGCGUGCUGCGUGCGCAGCAAGACUAUGGACGUGUAUUGUGCAGACCAUGGACUAAAAGGUGCAGGCAGAGACAGGGAGCGAGAGAGUAGUGGACUCGUAGGAAUGAGCCAGAAAGUAAGAUUUUAUUAUCAACCACAACCCCGGGAGUGGGUUGUGGUUGAUAAUACUACUUGUCCUCCUGCAAGUAGCACCGGAGCGACCUCAUUCAGUUUGAACUCGCACCUUAAGAAAUUAGGUUGCAUAUGCGACCUAAUAGGUUGCACUCUGGAGCCCUGCAUUACAGCUGGAUUAGCUGCUCCCAACAGACGAGUUAAAGGCAGACGACAUGUAAUCAAACAAUGUGUUUUCUAUUGAAAUAAAGAUUUAACACAAAUA